rnacentral:lncRNA from 1 species
AUGGCAGUGGUGAAGGCAUCAACGUCGAAAGCUUCCAGGCCUUGGUAUUCUCAUCUGGCGUAUGCAAGAUACUGGCAACAUUAUCAUCAAGCAAUGGCUUGAUGGCAAAGCCAUCAGAAUGCCUACAGGAAGGCCGUGGAAUCCUGUGUCAGUCGCUCUGCACUUCUUUUCCAAAGCUCUUACAACAGACAGGCUGGAUAUCCUCAGUCCUUCUGUGACCAUCAUGUGGCCUGGCAGGACUCCACCUGCAGUUCUUCACAUUUCAGAGGGUCUGGGCAGCAUCCACAUGACAGCACUGGGAUCCAGGCAUCCACGAGAGAAGACCAAGCUUUGUUUAAAGAGGAGGGGUAGAUGCAGAGGUAGAAUGUGACCUGAGCAAUAUGGAAAUCACUGAGGAUCUCUGCCAGUACUUUGCAGAAACCGGGAGGCACAGAGAAGAACAAGGGUGGCGGCAGCAGCUGGAUGCAGAAUGCUUGGACAGCUAUGUGAAUGCCGACCACGACCUUUGCUACAACACCCACUGGUGGGUGGAGCCCCCGACUGAGCGGCCCAGCAAGCGGUGCCAGGCUGAGAUGAAGCGCUUGUAUGGGAACAGCACUGCCAAGCUCCAGGCCAUGGAGGCUUCGGUGCAGCUGAGCUUUGACAAGCACUGUGACCAAAAGCAGCCCAGUUCUGGCUGGUCAUGCCUGUGAAAUUCUGA